rnacentral:rRNA from 1 species
AGUGAACGCUGGCGGCAGGCCUAAUACAUGCAAGUCGAACGGCAGCCCAGUAAGAGCUUGCUCUUACGGGUGGCGAGUGGCGGACGGGUGAGGAAUACAUCGGAAUCUACUUUUUCGAGGGGGAUAACGUAGGGAUACUUACGCUAAUACCGCUAACGACCUUCGUGUUCAAGAAGGCGAUCUUCCGACCUUGUGCGCCUGCAUGUGCUGAUGUCGGAUUAGCUAGUUGGCGGGGUAAAGGCGAAGCAAGGCGACGGUCCGUAGCUGGUCUGAGAGGAUGAUCAGUCACACUGGAACUGAGACACGGUCCAGACUCGUACGGGAGGCAGCAGUGGGGAAUAUUGGACAAUGGGCGGAAGCCUGAUCCAGCCAUACCGCGUGAGUGAAGAAGGCCUUCGGGUUGUAAAGCCCUUUUGUUGGGAAAGAAAAGCAGCAGGUUAAUACCCCGCUGUUCUGACGGUACCCAAAGAAUAAGCACCGGCUAACUUCGUG